rnacentral:rRNA from 1 species
AACGAACGCUGGCGGCAUGCCUAACACAUGCAAGUCGAACGGGAUCCUGGCUUCGGUCAGGGGAGAGUGGCGGACGGGUGAGUAACGCGUGGGAACCUGCCCAGUGGUGGGGGAUAACCGCGGGAAACUGCAGCUAAUACCGCCUGAGCCCGAGAGGGGAAAGAUUUAUCGCCAUUGGAGGGGCCCGCGUUCGAUUAGGUAGUUGGUGGGGUAAUGGCCUACCAAGCCGACGAUCGAUAGCUGGUCUGAGAGGAUGAUCAGCCACACUGGGACUGAGAUACGGCCCAGACUCCUACGGGAGGCAGCAGUGGGGAAUAUUGGACAAUGGGCGCAAGCCUGAUCCAGCAAUGCCGCGUGGGUGAAGAGGGCCUUCGGGUUGUAAAGCCCUUUCGCAGGUGAAGAUAAUGACGGUAACCUGAGAAGAAGCCCCGGCUAACUUCGUGCCAGCCGCCGCAGUAAGAC